GACGAACCGGACAAACGUUAUUCGGAAUUACUGGGCUUAAAGGGUUUGUAGGCGGCCUUGUAAGUCAGGUGUGAAAUCCCUCGGCUCAACCGAGGAAUGGCGCUUGAUACUGCAAGGCUUGAGGGAGACAGGGGUAAGCGGAACUGAUGGUGGAGCGGUGAAAUGCGUUGAUAUCAUCGGGAACACCGGUGGCGAAAGCGGCUUACUGGGUCUCUUCUGACGCUAAGGAACGAAAGCUAGGGGAGCGAACGGG
rnacentral:rRNA from 1 species